GGAAGCAGGUUAAUAUUCCUGCACUAUUUAGAUAGGGAUGGUGACACAAGUACAUUUUGAGACGCUUCCAGUUAGCUGUUGCUAAACUUGUUUAGUUCAAAUGUUAUACGACUAUGGAGUGUGGUAAUCACGAGAAGUAGUUGAAAACAUGAUGAUUCAAUAAUGGCAAGACUUGGAGUCUUUGAAAAUCAAAUUGUAUCGAUUCUAAAUAAAUGUACCCACAACCGGCACAGGUGCCCCUAGGUGAUAAGCCUAAGUCCUGAAAGGAUAAUCUUCGUAAGGGAAUUCGGCCAAUUAGCCACUUGUCUUCGGUAUAAGUGGUCCCUAAACUGUUGAAUUUUAAUAAGACAAUUUUAGGGUGCAAUUACAAAUGCGGUCCGACUGUUUAACUAAAACAUAGGGAACUGCUAGUCAGUAAUGAUGUGUAUAGUUCCUGAAGUCUGCCCACUGCCAGCAACUAAAACUGCUUUUCAAGGCGGCCAAGGUCUGGUAAAGGGCGGGGAUAACAAUGAUCCUCUUAAGGUAGCGAAAUGCCUUGCCGUUUAAAUGACGGCUUGCAUGAAUGGCGUAACGAGAUCGCAACUGUCCCUACGAAGAACCUUCUGAAUACACUAUCCCGGUGCAAAAGCCGGGGACUCCAAGUGGGAAGUAAAGACCCCGUUGAACUUUACUGCAGCCUGCUAUUGUGGUCAAUUUUACAACAUAACAAGGAGCUUCGGCAAAAAGGUAGAACUUGUUGUUGUGAAGUUGGCUGCUUAUCUCUUUUAGGGAAACAGUAGUUGGUGGGCAGUUUGGCUGGGGUGGCACCCUGUUGAAAAGAUAUCAACAGGGCCCAAUGGUCGGCUCAGACGGUUUAGAAAUCCGUCGUAGAGUGUAAGGGCAAAAGCCGGCUUUAUUCUGAUUACCACAAUGCUAAUCGGAAUUAGGAAACUAUGGCCUAACGAUCUGCAGUAUGCUUCUUAGUGAGGCUCUGCAUUGACAGAAAAGUUACCACGGGGAUAACAGAGUUGUCGCUCCCGAGAGUUCAUAUCGACGGAGCGGUUUGCUACAUCGAUGUCGGCUCAUCCUAACCUGGUAGUGCAGCAGCUACCAAAGGUGGGGGUGUUCACCCAUUAAAAGGGUUCGUGAGCUGGGUUCACAACGCUGUGAGGCAGUUGGUAUAAUAUCUGCUUGGAGUGUAAGUAUCUGCGAGAAAGAGUGAUUUAGUACGAAAGGAACGGUCUCUCGUGGCCACUGGUGGAUCUGUUGUCUAUAUAGGCAUGCAGAGCAGCUACGCCAUCGAGGAUAAAGGCUGAAAGCAUCUAAGCCUGAAACCUCCCUCUAAAAAAGAUACAUUGACCUCUCGUAAAAGACGAGUUUGAUAGGAUUGGGGUGUAAUAUGGAAGCUUCGGCGACCAUUUUAGCCUGCAAUUACUAACG
rnacentral:rRNA from 1 species